AUUGAACGCUGGCGGCAUGCCUUACACAUGCAAGUCGAACGGUAACAGGUCUUCGGAUGCUGACGAGUGGCGAACGGGUGAGUAAUACAUCGGAACGUGCCCGAUCGUGGGGGGUAACGAAGCGAAAGCUUUGCUAAUACUGCAUACGAUCUACGGCUGAAAGCAGGGGACCGCAAGGCCUUUCGCGAACGGGGCGGCCGAUGGCCGAUUAGGUAGUUGGUGGGAUAAAAGCUUACCAAGCCGACGAUCUGUAGCUGGUCUGAGUGGACGACCAGCCACACUGGGACUGAGACACGGCCCAGACUCCGACGGGAGGCAGCAGUGGGGAAUGUUGGACAAUGGGCGAAAGCCUGAUCCAGCCAUGCCGCGUGCAGGAUGAAGGCCUGCGGGUGGUAAACUGCUUUUGUACGGAACGAAAAGACUCUGGUUAAUACCUGGGGUGCAUGACGGUACCGGAAGAAUAAGCACCGGCUAACUACGUG
rnacentral:rRNA from 1 species